AGUCGUAACAAGGUUUCCGUAGGUGAACCUGCGGAAGGAUCAUUACUGAGUGAGGGCCCUCUGGGUCCAACCUCCCACCCGUGUUUAUUGUACCUUGUUGCUUCGGCGGGCCCGCCUUUAUGGCCGCCGGGGGGCUUACGCUCCCGGGCCCGCGCCCGCCGAAGACACCCUCGAACUCUGUCUGAAGAUUGUAGUCUGAGUGAAAAUAUAAAUUAUUUAAAACUUUCAACAACGGAUCUCUUGGUUCCGGCAUCGAUGAAGAACGCAGCGAAAUGCGAUACGUAAUGUGAAUUGCAGAAUUCAGUGAAUCAUCGAGUCUUUGAACGCACAUUGCGCCCCCUGGUAUUCCGGGGGGCAUGCCUGUCCGAGCGUCAUUGCUGCCCUCAAGCACGGCUUGUGUGUUGGGCCCCGUCCUCCGAUCCCGGGGGACGGGCCCGAAAGGCAGCGGCGGCACCGCGUCCGGUCCUCGAGCGUAUGGGGCUUUGUCACCCGCUCUGUAGGCCCGGCCGGCGCUUGCCGAUCAACCAAAAUUUUUUCCAGGUUGACCUCGGAUCAGGUAGGGAUACCCGCUGAACUUAAGCAUAUCAAUAA
rnacentral:misc_RNA from 1 species